rnacentral:tRNA from 1 species
GCGGACGUGGCGGAAUGGUAGACGCGCUACUUUGAGGUGGUAGUCCUGCAAGGGGUGGAGGUUCAAGUCCUCUCGUCCGCACCA